AACCUAGCACACCUGCGGUGUGUACCUGCGGAAGGAUCAUUACCAACAGUAGAUCUUCUACUGAACAGAGCGAGUCUGAAAGCGAUUCUUUUUGCGAGUAGGCUCUUCUGUCUAUACCCUUGUCUUUUGCGCACUCAUUGUUUCCUCGGCGGGUUUGCCCGCCGGAUGGACAACUCUACAACCCUUUUUAUUUUCAAUCAGCGUCUGAAUACCUAUAAUUAUUUACAACUUUCAGCAACG
rnacentral:misc_RNA from 1 species